rnacentral:rRNA from 1 species
CGGACGGGUGAGUAAUGUAUGGGGAUCUGCCUGAUGGCGGGGGAUAACUACUGGAAACGGUAGCUAAUACCGCAUAAUGUCUACGGACCAAAGCGGGGGACCUCCGGGCCUCGCGCCAUCAGAUGAACCCAUAUGGGAUUAGCUAGUAGGUGAGGUAACGGCUUACCUAGGCGACGAUCCCUAGCUGGUCUGAGAGGAUGAUCAGCCACACCGGGACUGAGACACGGCCCAG